UACGAAGGGGGCUAGCGUUGCUCGGAAUUACUGGGCGUAAAGGGCGCGUAGGCGGACAUUUAAGUUAGAGGUGAAAGCCCAGGGCUCAACCCUGGAAUAGCCUUUAAUACUGGAUGUCCUGAGUUCGGGAGAGGUGAGUGGAAUGCCGAGUGUAGAGGUGAAAUUCGUAGAUAUUCGGCGGAACACCAGUGGCGAAGGCGACUCACUGGCCCGAUACUGACGCUGAGGCGCGAAAGCGUGGGGAGCAAACAGG
rnacentral:rRNA from 1 species